GUUUUCCCUCCCACCCGCCAUUUUAUGUUCAAACGCGGUUGUUUGCUGUGGCUACAGGUAUGCGAUGGAGCGGUUGUAAAAUUGUCAUAUAAUAGUGCCAGUUUAGCUCAUUUUAGAAGCUGUGCUGUAAAGUACGUAAUCGCUGGCGUUUUAAACGAUACAACGAGACGUUGUAUCGUUCUUCAUGCAUUUUUGAAGAAGUAAUCAAGCUAUCGAUUCUUUGGCUUGUUUCACUAGCAGCCAUCUCGUCUUUCCAGCGAAAUGAGUUACGGUAGACCCCCACCCGAUGUUGAGGGUAUGACUUCUCUGAAAGUGGACAAUCUGACGUAUAGAACUUCGCCUGAGACUUUAAGGCGAGUAUUUGAGAAGUAUGGUCGGGUUGGAGACGUGUACAUCCCCCGGGAUCGCUAUACGAAGGAAAGCCGAGGAUUCGCCUUUGUACGGUUCCACGACAAACGGGACGCAGAAGACGCUAUGGACGCCAUGGAUGGUGCCGUACUCGAUGGGCGCGAAUUGCGCGUGCAGAUGGCCCGGUAUGGACGCCCCCCAGAUUCUCAUUACGGUCGUCGCGGAGGGCCCCCCCGGAGGCACGGGGGCUAUGGAAGACGAAGCAGAAGCUUCUCCCCCAGCCCACGACGCCGGAGGCGCAGCCGGUCCAGAAGCAGGAGCCGUUCUCGCAGUCGCUCGCGAUACAGCAGAUCACGGUCCAGGUCCUACUCCCGGUCACGCUCCCGCUCAAAGUCCCGCACGCCCCGCAGGAGCAAGUCUAAAUCCGCAUCCAGGUCCCGUUCCAGGUCUAAAUCCAAGACCAAAUCCCGCUCCAGGAGCCGCACACCUCCUUCCAAUAGACCAUCCAAGUCCAGAUCAAGAUCAAAAAGCCAGCCCAAAUCCCCAGAGGAGGAUGGACCCGCGACCUAAUUAAGCAACCGCAAGAGUAAGGCUGGAGAUCUACUAACACAGUUUGUGGUUUCAAGGGUUUAGUCAGUUGAAAAACGCAAGCAUGCUGAAAUAGUAAUGAACAGAUCUGUCUGCAGCUUCUUGCUCACAGAGCAAAGGUGUCCAAGAUAGAUUGACUUAAUGUUAAUGUACAACUUUGAGGUGUCUCCCUUGGGCAAGUCUGUCUGGCAUUGUGUGGCCUUAAAUUUAGUACUUUAAACUGAUUCUUUAAACAUGAACUGCAACCCUAGCUGGUAGCAGUGAAAAAUGUAUCGUCAGCUCCCAGUGAACACAAGAGUGAUUCUUACUAGCAGUCAUUGAUGCCUUUGACAUACCUGCUUAAAGGGUGGAAAGGUUCCUAGAACCAUUCCAGUGAAUUAAGAUUAUUACAUAGCAUCUAAUGCAUUUAACUUUUGCUGCUUAUGUUUUAGCUUCCAUUUGAAAAUAAUUAACCUCAGUGAAUGUAUGUGUUCUGGGGUGAGGCUGGGAGGGGGUGGUAAAUAUGAAUGCAAAGGAGUAGAAUUAGUCAUUUUAUUUUUUGUAAAUAUCUGAAAAUGGUUUUGGGUUUAAAAUAUUCACCAAAAAUGUGGAAUUCUCUCCUCAAAGCUGCUGUUUCCUGUUUGCAAAAAUGGAGUUUGGGGCAGUUUGAGCAGUUAGUGUGUGAUCCGCCCAUGGGCUGCCUGCUGCUGUUGGGGGUUGCUAUGGAGCAGGUCGGUCUGUCAGUGUUGAGGUGGUGUUGAGAUUUCAGAUUGAGAUUUCACCAUGGACAACCCAUUGGAAGUAAAGGCCUCAGGAUUCUCCAUCCUGCCAUGGUUUCUGAUUAAAAGGUUAUUGUCACUGUCUAAAGGUUUUAGAUACAUUUUUAUUUAAGGCUUGCUUGUGCCACCUAUCCCAAUCUCCUAUACAUUUUUUGAAAAGGAUAACCCUCAGAUGUGCAAUUGUUGUAAAUCAAAACAGCUUCUGUUAAUCAUAUAGUGCAGUUUUAUUUUUGUAUUUGUGGAGUACAUCAGUAGUAUUAAGUAUCUUAAGUACAUUCAAUUAUUGCAUAUUGUAUGUAGAAUAUAUGACAGAGGGCUGAUCAUUUCAUUGCCCUUGUUUGGCUUUGGAAUGUGAAUCUCACUAUCAAAAUGAUUUGAAUUGCAUGUCAAGUAGCACUAACAUUAUAGUAGUGCAUGUGUAUAUGAAGGAUUUCAGUGUGUACAUCAGAGUCGGAAGGGGUCUUAGGGGAACAAAGUUUUUCAGUCUAAAGUGGAGGGGGAAUGAAAAUGUUCUCUUAUUUAUAAAAAUUUUUUUAUCUUAAUUUAGAAUUGGUCAUUUUGUAAUUCUAAUCCUCUCUCUUGUAUUUUUUGUGCAUUAGGCGCAGUUGUGUAGCAGUUGAGUAUUGCUGGUUAGCUGUUAAGGUGGCGUGUUGCAGUGCAGAGAGCUUGGCUGUUUCCAGUUUUCUCCUGGUUGCUCCUGUGUUACGAUGCCUUGGUGUGCCUUGAUGUGUAAAACGGCUGCAGCAGAUUAUCCUUUAAAAUACUGGUCACCUGCAUUUCCUGACAUCGGAAUGUCCUUAUUUUCUUCCUCAGCCAAAUGGAACAUUUAGAACAGUGUUCACAUUUUGCCAGUCACAUUUCUUUUAGACUACCUCCCCCUUAAAAUAAGCUUACAGAAAAUAUUAGCUGCAUUUUGUAGCCUGUUCUUAGACCCUUCCAUUAACUUUCCUGAAGAUAUUCUGUAUUUGUAACUUUGAAUGCUAAUAAACAAUUUUCUGUAAGUUGUCACAUUAA